rnacentral:lncRNA from 1 species
UAAAACAAGAAGUCUCCCAGCUUGUAAAAGGGAAAGGAACUCUUGCCCCAAGCACAUCUCAUGGAUCUGAGGCACAUUUCAUGGACUUUGCAGGUAAGUCUACUGUCUAUAACACUUGCAAUGCACAUAUGCAAAAUGUAUCUAAUUGGAUCCUAGACACUGGAGCCACAAAUCACAUGUGUUCAGACAGCAAUCUGUUCACCACCUUACAUCCACUAC